rnacentral:rRNA from 1 species
GAUGAACGCUGGCGGCGUGCCUAACACAUGCAAGUCGAGCGAUCUCUUCGGAGAGAGCGGCGGACGGGUGAGUAACGCGUGGGUAACCUGCCCUGUACACACGGAUAACAUACCGAAAGGUAUGCUAAUACGGGGUAAUAAAUAAAAGUCGCAUGGUUUUUAUAUCAAAGAUUUGUCGGUAAAGGAUGGGACUGCGUCUGAUUAGUUAGUUGGUAAGGUAACGGCUUACCAAGGCGACGAUCAGAAGCCGACCUGUGAGAGUGAUCGGCCACACUGAAACUGAGACACGGUCCAAACUCCUACGGGAGGCAGAAGUGUGGAAUAUUGCACAAUGGGCGAAAGCCUGAUGCAGCAACGCCGCGUGAGCGAUGAAGGCCUUCGGGUCGUAAAGCUCUGUCCUCAAGGAAGAUAAUGACGGUACUUGAGGAGGAAGCCCCGGCUAACUACGUGCCAGCCGCCGCAGUAA